rnacentral:rRNA from 1 species
UACGUAGGGUGCGAGCGUUAAUCGGAAUUACUGGGCGUAAAGCGUGCGCAGGCGGUUUUGUAAGCCAGAUGUUAAAUCCCCGGGCUUAACCUGGGAACUGCACUUGUGACUGCACAGCUGGAGUACGGCAGAGGGGGAUGGAAUUCCGCGUGUAGCAGUGAAAUGCGUAGAUAUGCGGAGGAACACCGAUGGCGAAGGCAGUCCCCUGGGCCUGUACUGACGCUCAUGCACGAAAGCGUGGGGAGCAAACAGG